UACGUAGGGGGCUAGCGUUGUCCGGAUUUAUUGGGCGUAAAGAGCGUGUAGGCGGCCAGAAAAGUCCGCUGUGAAAACUCGAGGCUCAACUUCGAGCUGUCGGUGGAAACUUUCUGGCUAGAGUCCGGAAGAGGAGAAUGGAAUUCCUGGUGUAGCGGUGAAAUGCGUAGAUAUCUGGAGGAACACCGAUGGCGAAGGCAGCCCCCUGGGAUAACACUGACGCUCAUGCACGAAAGCGUGGGGAGCAAACAGG
rnacentral:rRNA from 1 species